rnacentral:rRNA from 1 species
GUGAGGAAUUUUCCGCAAUGGGCGAAAGCCUGACGGAGCAAUGCCGCGUGAAGGAUGAAGGCCUAUGGGUUGUAAACUUCUUUUCUCAGAAAAGAAUUAUGACGGUAUCUGAGGAAUAAGCAUCGGCUAACUCUGUGCCAGCAGCCGCGGUAAGACAGAGGAUGCAAGCGUUAUCCGGAAUGAUUGGGAGUAAAGCGUCUGUAGGUUGUUUAAAAAGUAUUCUGUCAAAGAUUAGGGCUUAACCCUAGAUAGGCAGAAUAAACUUUUAAGCUAGAGUUUGGUAGAGGCAGAGGGAAUUCCCGGUGGAGCGGUGAAAUGCGUAGAUAUCGGGAGGAACACCAAAGGCGAAGGCACUCUGCUGGGCCAAUACUAACACUGAGAGACGAAAGCGAGGGGAGCAAAUGGGAUUAGAAACCCGUGUAGUCC